rnacentral:rRNA from 1 species
AUUGAACGCUGGCGGCAUGCCUUACACAUGCAAGUCGAACGGCAGCACGGGAGCAAUCCUGGUGGCGAGUGGCGAACGGGUGAGUAAUACAUCGGAACGUGCCCAAUCGUGGGGGGUAACGCAGCGAAAGCUGUGCUAAUACCGCAUACGAUCUACGGAUGAAAGCAGGGGAUCGACAAGACCUUGCGCGAAUGGAGCGG